rnacentral:lncRNA from 1 species
AAGAGAGCUUAAUAGUCGAGGCAUAGGCAGCAGCGUUCCUUUUUAAAUAUCUUUAUAGCCAAACUGCGGUCGCUAACCUAUGCUCUACACGUAUGAAAUGCAAUAUAAUCGUUUCGAAUUUUGCUUGCCAUAAUACCUAUUGUGAAAAGCUGCCUUACAUUUUAUGCCGCGAGGUUAUGUUCUAACUUUUUAUCUAGUACGCAAUUACUUAUUGUGUUAUUAAUAAUAUUAUAAAAAAUCUUUAACAGUCUUUUACUUUAUUUAAAAUAUACAAUGGUAUCUAAUCUAUAUAAUAACGUUUUUACUUACUAUAUUUUAUUUUAUAAAUAAACGCAUGCGUUUGUCAUAAAGUAGAUAAAUUAUGGAUUAACCUUAUAAAAGUUAACAGGCAAAAUAAUUUACUGAAAUGGCAAUUUUAUAUUUUUUCAACUGAUAUGAACACAGUUGAUAUCUUUAGUUAACUUAAUAAAUUAUCAGUACAUUCAUAUACUUAAUUACGUAAGAGAGGUACUAGCGUAUUGUACUUUAGAUAAAUGAUAUUAUUAUUUUAUGGUACUUCCCGUGUAUCCAGUACGGCUGCAUAAAUUCUUUAAAUAAUACACAUACCAUAUAAUUUUCUGUCGUGUUAAUUCUAUGUAGUGUAAUUUACUGACUGUGAACAAUAAUUGUCACUCACACAUAGUAUCUAUUGUAUUAUCUGUUCUACAAUAGUCUAAUGAACUCUAUUCUACAAGUUGUCCAACGAACAUGUCUAAAUGAAGCGAUGUAAAUGUAGUAGUUUGGGACUUGUUAAAGAAGUUGGAUCUUAGAGUGUGCUACUAUUACUUAUACUGUAGUGCUACUAUAGCCAGUCUCAAUAGAACUUAAUGACAAGGAUAUCAAUAUGCCCUGAUGUCUAUGAAGACCGCGUUGUCGACCAUCCUCAGAUCUUACAAGGUGGUGGGGGAGCAGGAGCCUACUACUAUUCCUCACAUCCGAGUCAAAGUAGAUAUUAUGAUGAAGGACGUUGACGGAUAUUGUGUGGCUUUGGAGAGACGAAUGCCAACGUCCACAAGGAAAUAAUAAAUAUCGCCGGACUUAUUACACUAGCGUUAUUUAGUACCAAACUUAAUUGAACUUGUACUAUAGAUACUUUAUUUCGUAAAUACGUAUAUAUUUUAUACCGAUACGAGAUAGUAACCUUUAAGAAAAGAGCAUAUUCCUUUGUAAAAGGCCGACAGCAUACGCGCAAUUCCCCUAGUUUUGCGGGUGCUCAUGGGCGGCAGUAGUCAGUUGUGCCGCAUGUUCGUUGCCCCCUGUGUUAUAAUAAAAAUAUUAUAUGUACAUAUUCAUGAAUAUAAAGUUUGUACUGUGGGGGAAUCGAACUCGCGACCCCUGGAAUAUAACCUUAUCUUCCAGGUGUGUGCAAACACUAACAAAAUGCGCGUUAGUGUUACAAUAUUAUUAUUAAGUAUAAUUUAAUGAAGUAAAACGGUCUGUUAUCAAGAAAAUUACUUUGGGGUUGUUUAAAUGGAUAUAGACCAGAGCAACUACUUUUUAUUUUUUUAUUAUAUAAUAUUCUAAGCAAAUAAAAUAAAUUAUGUACAAAGUUCUAA